rnacentral:tRNA from 1 species
GGUCUGUAGCUCAGUGGCAGAGCGCUUGCUUAGCAUGUGUGAGGCACUGGGUUCGAUCCUUAGCACCA